AAGUAAAAAUCGUAACAAGGUUUCUGUAGGUGAACCUGCAGAAGGAUCAUUAGUGAAAGCAAGGGCCAGCCAUACGGACGGCGCUACUCGCGUACAACGUCUCUGGCGCCCAACUUUACACAAUAUCCACAAACCCGUGUGCACCGUUUGGAUGAGUUGGACCUCGCAAGAGGCCUGGCUCUCCAAUCCAUUUCUACCAAACUCGUAUGGUUGUAUGAACGUGGAAAUCGUUGGACCGUAACUGGCCAACAACCAAUAAUACAACUUUCGACAACGGAUCUCUUGGUUCUCCCAUCGAUGAAGAACGCAGCGAAACGCGAUAGGUAAUGUGAAUUGCAGAAUUCCGUGAAUCAUCGAAUCUUUGAACGCACCUUGCGCUCCAUGGUAUUCCGUGGAGCAUGCCUGUUUGAGUGCCGUGAAUUCUCUCUCCCCAAGCGGUUGCGAUUGCACUGCUUUGGCGGACGAGGUUGGAUGGGUGCUUCUGCCUGUUUCGCAAGAAACAGGCUCGCCCGAAAUGCAUUAGCGCCUUUGGGACACACUCUGCAAACCGCUCUGAAAGGGAGGGCGGCAGAGGGGAUGGAGGAACUCCGCCCGUCAGCUAUACCAAACUUUGCCCCAGGCAAGCGCAUGGCAUGAUACGUCAUUUGCUGUGUGUGCGUCCUGAGGCAAGGGGCCGAUGUGGUGCCUUUGUCACUCUGUGGGUGUGUUGGUGCGCUACCAAUUCUGCGUUGAGGCUGGUCUGUGCGCAAGCAUGGAGAGGUUCUCUGUGAACGCAUUCCCUUUUUUCAUUUCUGGUCUCAAAUCAGUAG
rnacentral:rRNA from 1 species